GAUGAACGCUGGCGGCGUGCCUAAUACAUGCAAGUCGAGCGAACAGACGAGGAGCUUGCUCCUUUGACGUUAGCGGCGGACGGGUGAGUAACACGUGGGUAACCUACCUAUAAGACUGGGAUAACUUCGGGAAACCGGAGCUAAUACCGUAUAAUAUUUCGAACCGCAUGGUUCGAUAGUGAAAGAUGGCUCUGCUAUCACUUAUAGAUGGACCUGCGCCGUAUUAGCUAGUUGGUAAGGUAACGUCUUACCAAGGCAACGAUACGUAGCCGACCUGAGAGGGUGAUCGGCCACACUGGAACUGAGACACGGUCCAGACUCCUACGGGAGGCAGCAGUAGGGAAUCUUCCGCAAUGGGCGGAAGCCUGACGGAGCAACGCCGCGUGAGUGAUGAAGGUCUUCGGAUCGUAAAACUCUGUUAUUAGGGAAGAACAAACGUGUAAGUAACUGUGCACGUCUUGGCGGUACCUAAUCAGAAAGCCACGGCUAGCUACGUG
rnacentral:rRNA from 1 species